rnacentral:misc_RNA from 1 species
CAAAUCUGCUGCAUAGAGAAUGCUACAACCAUUGCCUGAGUACUGUUCUGGUGCAGGGAACACAGUGAGUUGGAAAAUCAUAGAGAAAUAUGAAAGAACUCAAAAGCACUUCCGCAGCAUCUCCACUUGCAUAUUUUGUGUAACUGUUUUUACAUUCACAGUGGAUUGAAAGAAUUUUGACGGAUUAUAAAGAAUUGUAUCCCUCACAAAGAAUAAUAGUGUAUAAAUCUAUGCGUGACUAAUGCUAAUAACUCAGCUGGGACAAAUGUUUUCUACAGUAUGCCACCAAAACUCGUUCACCACUCAAAACAGACAGAUAGUCCCUUCAUCGUUCGUCCCAUUCAGACAACAACUUUGAGAACCAUAAGAACGGAUUACAUACAGCUGGAACCAACUGUCUUCACUGAACCUAGUUGUGUGGUGUAAGCACAGCUACAAAAUUAGGAUUUUCACACCGGCCCAACCAAUUGCUUUUAGGCUGACGGUUUUCCUUCAGUAUUCGUACCCCACUCUUCUUCAGCCUCAUUUCCAUUGACGAGUACUGCACUAUCAGUAGAUUCAGCAUCUACAACAGCCUCUUCUUGGCUCUCCUGUUGAGUGCCAUCUUGUCCCUGCUCUUGCACCUCAUCACCAUUCUGUUCCACAACCUCGUGGUCCGUUUCUCCAUUUUCAAGGGGUUCUUCUUCAUCCAUUCUCAUGUUGCUGAAAGCUUCUACAAGGUUGGAAGUUGGUCUAUCAGCAUAAUUUCCAUAAUCUGCUGCUGGUGGGUAUACACCCCUUUCCUCUGCGACUCUAGCUUCAACUGCAUGUGCAAUUUGCCAGUGCUCAAACAUGUUGGGAUAUUCUUCAGGAUCAGCCAAAGCUUCUGCUGCUUUCUGGUUAACCUUAUUAAGAUCCUUCCUCCACAUUGCAACUAUUUCAGAAACCUUACUUGGCAGAUAAGAUCUAGCCAUAAAAGCAGCCUCAGGUACCCGAUUGCUAUCAACCAAUAGCUGAAUGCAUUCCUCCACUUUACCCAAAAGGAACAUGCAAAGGAAUGUGACAUUGUUUUUCCCCUGCUCUUUGGCAAGAGUUGCUAGUUCAGUUAUGCCUUCAGCAUCUCCUAGUGAAGAAUAGAGUAGCAACAGACCACUCAAGUCAUUGGCAUACUUCAGACAUUCCUCUGCCAUCUCCAGCAUUCCAUCAGACAUGGCUAGUUCACCCAACUGCUUCCAUUUGGACUCACUUUGAGCGACCACUGCAAUAUCCUUUGCAAUUUCUAAUUUUCCCAGCUGUAUGGCUAGAUCAAAUCUGUAGUCAGGCUCUGUUGCAACUUCUAAUGCUUCCUCUACCAUACCUCGCGACUCCAAGAAAUGAGCAACACUAUUAUGGUGCUCCUUAGGAAUAGAUGGCAGCACCUCAUUUGCUCUGUCCCAGUCACCACGCAUCACAAGCGUCUUGUACUCAACCAGGCUGAGCAGCAAAGUAUAUCCAAUGACAUUGAACUCUUUGUCAAUCAGAAAAACCCUACUCUGGUUUGCUAGAUAUCCGAGCAGGUACAUAGGCCGGUCUAAAUGAAACAUUGUGGUCACCUCACCACCAACACAGUAGUUAAGUCUCCAGGAAGAAUUAUUGUAAAUGAAGCAAUCACCAACCCAAAUUCCGGUCCUGACCCGUUCAUUUAUCUCAUAAAGAAGUUCAAAAGCUUCUUCUACGCCUUGCUCAUCUACUGAUCUUCCACUAUCUAAAUGGGCAGAAACCACAUCACGAUUAUACUUGAGUAUGUAGAAGGAUGUAUCACUUGCAAUUGCUACCAGAUCGCCACUGUCCGCCCAGUAGAGAUUCUUCACACUAACAUCAAUUCGCCGUAUCAACCUGCAGUCCGCCCAAUCAUAGAAACAAAUAAACUCAUUUGAGCACAUCGCCAAUAGAGUACCUCCAUAGAUGCGCUCAGCUGAGAAAGUAGGGCGGAUACUCUUCUUCUCCUGAAAAUUUUUGCUGAAGAUCUUAAUCCUUGACGUACUUUCUCUCACAGCAUAUUCUCCAUCAGAAGACCAAACAAAUUCCAGAGCUGAACCAAAUGACCUAUUUCUCCAUGCUAGAGCAGUAUAUAUGAUAUACUCUCCAUCUCCACAAACAACAACAAACCUUCCAUUUGGAUUAUGCUUCAAGCUUUGUGGAUAGAGGUCACAAGUUCCCAAUUCCUUGACAGCCAAAGGCAGCCUUUCUCCAUCAGUAACCUCGUAAUCCGCCCCCACACUCUUGAUGUUGACAGUUUGAACUUCAUUGUGCUUAGCCCAUAUAAUUUUUCCACUACUAUCCAUGCUGGCAACGGGUUCUUCUCGGCCAAUUUUUACCAUGAUAGUGCCCUCAUCAUAACCUAUUACAACCCUUCUUGAACUUCUCAUGCAACCAACUGCCCAA